GGGUGAGCUGGGAAAGCCAUGGGCUCAGUCUGUUUCAGUUGCUUAACCUAAAGUUACUUAAACCCAAUUUCAGGUCUUUUUUAUUUUUAUUUUUUUUAAUCUGUGAGAUGGGGUAACAUUAGCACUCAUAUCCUAUUCUGAGGAUUACCAAAGUUAACACUUGUUAAAGCAUGUUGAACAGUGCCUGGCUUAUGUUAAAUGCUGUUAAUGUAAGCUCUUAUUAUUAACCAUUGUUACCUUAUACGAGGGACUGCAGAGAAACAAACACAAACAUAUUCAGCUUCAUUCUGGACCUUUAACUCUGCCAAAACCCCUUCCUGUCUAGAGCAAUACUUCCCUUUCCCCUUUUCUUGUUUUUCUCAGUGCUGUGUCUGGUCUGUGACAUCAAAUAUUAUCCUGCAUAUAUGGCCACCAAGCCUGUAUUCUCCCAGAUAUAUAUAUAUAUCUGUUUCCACUUCCUGCUGUGCAGCAGUACCACCAAGAACCCUUCCCUUGGUUCUCAGCUGAUGUAUUUUGCUUUAAAUGAUAUACACAGACUGGCUAUUCGAAAACAGUUUCCACUUCCUGCUGUGCAGCAGUACCACCAAGAACCCUUGCCUUAUUUCUCAGCUUCAUGUAUUUUGCUUUAAAUGAUAUACACAGGCUGGCUAUUCGAAAAACAGUUUCCCCCGCCCCUCUUUGAAAUCAGUGCUGUGUUGAUAUUGAAAUUGAGGUACAUCUCAUCUGAGCAGUGCUUUGGUUAGUUUACCACUUAGAAUCAACUCAUCUUGUUCUAUGCUUUUGCCCAGGGCAGUAUCACACAACAUGUAGAAAAUUAAUAAAUGCAUAUUGAUAACUAUACUUACAGAAUGCUUCUAGUGAAUAUUUAGAAAGCUUACUAGGCCUAAAUCCAGGAGCUAAAAGGGGAAAAUUGUGUUUACUUUCAACGUAUGGACAGUGACUGUCCCAAUAGUGGCAGUUUGUAGCUUAAAAAAAUUGCGCCAAAAUUCUAGGAUUACAUUUUUCUUUUUUUUUCUUUUUUUUAAAAUUUAUUUAUUAUUAUUAUACUUUCUAAAGAAAAAUCUUCAAGAAGUUUUAAGAUCUUAUUAAUUGAAUUACCAGAAAGAUUAAAGCAUAGGAAAUUUCCUUUAAUCUGAUGUUCUAUGAAUCUUUAAAAUGUUCAUAUUUUUGCUCAGUUUAAUAUUGUUUGAAUAAAUCAAAGAAUAUUUUAUUAAAAUAAAGAUCGGCUCUGAAGAACAAAUUCAGUGCAAAGUACUUCAAAACUUACGAGAUAGUAAGGUAAUUUUUAUUGACAAGUAGCAUGGUAUAUUGUGGGAAGGCAGAUUUGGCAAGUCCACACAGUUAUAAUUCCAAGUAUGCAUUAAAAUAGCCACAGGAGAGGUAGGAUCAACAUGUUCUGAAUUGUCAAUGAAUGAGAAAUCUGAGUCAUAAGUGAAGUUUUCUCAUUAAGUUAUAGUAUGUUUAUAAAUUUCAAGACUGUGAUUUUAUAGUAGCU
rnacentral:lncRNA from 1 species